CUUGACAAACUUAUAAGAGGUCCAGCCUGCCCAGUGACUCUGUUCAACGGCCGCGGUAUCCUAACCGUGCGAAGGUAGCGUAAUCACUUGUUCUUUAAAUGAGGACUAGUAUGAAUGGCACCACGAAGGUUAUACUGUCUCCUUUUUCUAAUCAGUGAAACUAAUCUUCCCGUGAAGAAACGGGAAUAAAAAUAUAAGACGAGAAGACCCUAUGGAGCUUUAAACAAAUAUACACCUGCCUCUUUACCAAAAAUUUCAGAAGACAAGUAAUUACCCGGGCAUUUUGAUAUAGCGUUUUAGGUUGGGGUGACCGCGGAGCAAAAAACAACCUCCGCAGCGAACGGGAGUAUUCCCUAAACCAAGGGCCACAACCCCAAGUAUUGAUAAAUCAACACUAAUUGACCCA
rnacentral:rRNA from 1 species